rnacentral:rRNA from 1 species
AUGCAUGUCUAAGUAUAAGCAAUUAUACAGCGAAACUGCGAAUGGCCCAUUAAAUCAGUUAUCGUUUAUUUGAUAGUACCUUACUACUUGGAUAACCGUGGUAAUUCUAGAGCUAAUACAUGCUAAAAACCCCGACUCACGAAGGGGUGUAUUUAUUAGAUUAAAAACCAAUGCCCUUCGGGGCUCUCUGGUGAUUCAUAAUAACUUCUCGAAUCGCAUGGUCUUGUGCCGGCGAUGGUUCAUUCAAAUUUCUGCCCUAUCAACUUUCGAUGGCAGGGUCUUGGCCUGCCAUGGUUACAACGGGUAACGGAGGGUUAGGGCUCGACCCCGGAGAAGGAGCCUGAGAAACGGCUACUACAUCCAAGGAAGGCAGCAGGCGCGCAAAUUACCCAAUCCCGAUUCGGGGAGGUAGUGACAAUAA